rnacentral:lncRNA from 1 species
GUCUUCAAUGUGUGACAGGUUAGUACAGUGGUGAACCUAUAGGUCUUCAGUAUGUGACAGGUUAGUACAGUGGUGAACCUAUAGGUCUUCAGUGUGUGACAGGUUAGUACAGUGGUGAACCUAUAGGUCUUCAGUAUGUGACAGGUUAGUACAGUGGUGAACCUAUAGGUCUUCAGUGUGACAGGUUAGUACAGUGGUGAACCUAUAGGUCUUCAGUGUGACAGGUUAGUACAGUGGUGAACCUAUAGGUCUUCAGUGUGACAGGUUAGUGCAGUGGUGAACCUAUAGGUCUUCAGUGUGUGACAGGUUAGUGCAGUGGUGAACCUAUAGGUCUUCAGUGUGUGACAGGUUAGUACAGUGGUGAACCUAUAGGCCUUCAGUGUGACAGGUUAGUACAGUGGUGAACCUAUAGGUCUUCAGUGUGUGACAGGUUAGUACAGUGGUGAACCUAUAGGUCUUCAGUGUGUGACAGGUUAGUACAGUGGUGAACCUAUAGGUCUUCAGUGUGUGACAGGUUAGUACAGUGGUGAACCUAUAGGUCUUCAGUGUGUGACAGGUUACUACAGUGGUGAACCUAUAGGUCUUCAGUGUGUGACAGGUUAGUACAGUGGUGAACCUAUAGGUCUUCAGUGUGUGACAGGUUAGUACAGUGGUGAACCUAUAGGUCUUCAGUGUGACAGGUUAGUACAGUGGUGAACCUAUAGGUCUUCAGUGUGUGACAGGUUAGUACAGUGGUGAACCUAUAGGCCUUCAGUGUGACAGGUUAG